CUCCUCCUCCCUCCCGCAGCUGCCUCGCUCCCUCCCACGCACCCGCCUCCCUUCCUCUUCCUCUCCCUCACCUCUCCCUCCACCAGGCCUCGCCGCCCCGCCCACUUCGCCGCAGCCGACGCCCCUCAGACGUCGCCGUCGUGGCUCAGCCAUCUCCCCGCACGCUCCUCCCCUUCCCCGCUCCUCCCCUUCUCCAUUGCAGCCGCCGCCGCGCCCAUCCCCUUCUCUACUGCAGCCGACACGACGCUCGUACGGGGAGGAUAGGCGGACGGAAGCGUUCUCCCUCCGUGUUGCCGUCGCGGUGCCCGCCCGCGGGCGGCUCCCUCUCCUCGCUAGCCCUGCCCCGCCUCGCCGCCUCACCCACCUCACCCCGCCGUCCCGCCUCGCCUGUCCCGUUCGCAGUGGCCGAUGCCCCGCGGCCUCGCCCGGCCCCGUCGUCCCACCCCACCGUCUCGCCCGCCCCGCUCGUCCCGCUCGCCGUGGCCGUGGCCGAUGACCGCGGCCCCGUCGUCCCGCCCCGCUCGCCGUGGCCGAUGACCGCGCCACCAGGGGCCGUGGCGCAGACCCAUGUCCCCGCGCGGCGGCGGCAGAUCCCUCAUCACGGAGCCAGCCCUCCCGCCGGUGCCACGCCGCGCCGUGAUGCCGCUGGCUUGGAGGCUCGUGUUCAGGCAGCCGCCGCGGCGUCGCUGGAUGCGGUGGCAGGCUCUCAGGGGACCGCUUGACAGGGGGGCCGUCGCGGCUUCCGGUGGUGCCAAGCCGUAGAUCUGAGACACCGUUUACACUUCGGUUUCGAUUUGGUGCCUCCACUCCUCACCACCUCUUCCUCUCUGAUCUUGUUUGUUUGUAGGCUUGGGAUUGUAGGUUAUUUGUCUUCUCUAUAUGUAGAUGCUAUUGGAUUCAGACCAUAGUCGAAAGUUGGGGGCCUUUUGUGCUCUCAGGUUUGGCUAUAUUCCAAGUAUUAGGAUUUCUCUCAGGUUUGGCUAGGUUCCAUAGAUGGCCACAGAGCCUUUUGUGCUCUCAGGUUUGGCUAGAUUCCAAGUAUUUGGAUUUUUUGGGUCAAUGAUCUGGCUAGGUUGGCUAGGUUCCAAAGCUGGCCACUUCUCUGUGGCCUUUUGUGCUGCCUUGCUUGGACUCGAUGGGAGAGAGAUAAGGGUUGGGCUAGGUUCCAAAGAUGGCCACUUUUCUGUGGCCUUUUGUGAUGCCUUGCUUGGACUUGAUGGGAGAGGGAGAAGGGUUUUGCUAGGUUCCAAAUAUUGGGAUCUUUUGGAAGUUAAGGUACUCAUGUGCUCUUUGUUAUAUUGUAAAGCAUGUAUAUGGGGUAUUCCUCUGGUUCAAAACGAAUACUAGGUUACGAUCCUUACACUUGAAAUUUAUCAUUAUUUGGAUACUCUGCGGUGUUGUUUUGUUUACUAAAUUCUCCAGUUAUUUUCAGUUUCAAUUAGGCUCUGUGUAGUGAUUAUCUCGGCUUUUUCAACAGCAACUAUACCAUCGUGAUGUGUAAUUACAGAUUGUUUUAGUGUUAUAAUUUGUUCUGACCUCCAUGAUUUAUAGUAUUGACAUAUUGAGCUUGUAUGCCCUUUCCAUGAAUUGAGUUCUAUGUAAGUCUUGGCAAUGCAUUGACAUGGUUCUGGUAGCCAUUAUGAUGCAUGAUGCACCACAUUGCCAGUUCCUUUCUAUCACUGAUUUUUUGAUAAAUCUUGCUGCAGUGAAACCCAAAGAAUGAUAUGGCUGUGAAUGAAAAGGGUACUAUUUAUUAGUCUUAUAGUGGCCUGACAUGCUAUCGAAUUUUUUUAGUAUCUAAAAAGGCAGACCAGUUUUGCAAUGAAUGUUUAUAUUUUCCAUUACAUUUGGUCAUAAGAUUUUACUUUGUUUUGCCAGGAGAGUUUCACUUCAUGUAGCUACUACACUAGGAGAAUUGUAUGCUUGCGCCGAGGAAAAUGUUAUGCCGACCGUGGACAAGUGCCCUGAACUCACCUAUGCCCGGUAAUCUGGUGUGAGCCCGCCGUGGCCGCCAGGGCGGAGGAAGGCGGCGAGGGGCCCGCCAUGGACCGGUUCGACCCCGGCGCGCCGCCGCCGUUCGAGCUGGCGGACACCCACGCCGCCAUCCCCAAGCACUGCCAGAUGCGAUUAUCUGCAGUCAGCCGUGUCAGCCUCAUGUACCCACCACGAGAUGAAAGAUGGAUUUGGAGAAGGGAGGGAGCAGGAGGAGAAGAGGAAGAAGACACCGUACCACCUCCAUGCACCUCCAAUUUCUCUAUCCUUUUCUUGCAGAAUAGGGAUGGACAAUUGGUCAAUAUACCGAACGGAUACAUUCACUGGAAAUGAGGGGCUAUUGAUGUUGUGGGCUUGAUUGGCUUUGCAGGUUCCAACCAGAUUGCUUUGCAGGUAUUAUGCAAGAAUUGUUUUCUUUAUUAUGAGAAAGCUCAAUAUUUUUUUGCUGUGAAUUACAUAUGUAAGUGUUAUGUGUGAUUGUUAGAUUGUAGCAGAGAUACUAUAUACAGGGUGUUAAUUGUUCAGUUUGCUUGCUUGUUGCUUAUCUACACAGUUAUACAGGGUGUUAAUUGUUCAGUUUGCUUGCUUGUCGCUUAUCUACACAGUGAUGCGUUGAUUUAGUUUUUCUGCUUGCUUAGUUGGCUAAUAAGAACAUAAGUGUACAUGAUUACUGCACUACAUGAUAUCCUAUAGUAUUGUUGUUCAGUGAUAUUAAUCACAAUUUGCAAGAACAAAGAUAAAUGUUGGUCCCCUUUUAGCUAAUAGUAGGGACUCACUGAUUAGUAGCAAAAAACAGGAUCAAGUGCAUGCUUAAUUUUCUUUUGCAGGUUAAGGAUGAGGCCUCAAUUAUUAUUCUUUUAUUAUGAUUGUUGUGUAUAGCAUGUCCGUUAUUCUCAUCCUAUCUGAUUGUUGAACUGCACUUGAUCAUGGUUGUUCAUACUCUUAAUUCCUGUCCCCGUCGGAUCGAGCCACUGGAUGACCUCGGCCGUCGGAUCAAAGCCGAGGCAUUGUAGGAAUGGAUAGUUACCGUCUCGCGGUAAAAAUCUCGUGCACCACGCGUAAUUCCUGUCCCCCGCCGAGGGCAUUUUCAUCAUCUCAUGUACAUGGGUAUAAAAGGGGGGCCACGCUCGUGGUAAAACCCUAGCCUCCUCUCUCCUCUGCUACAACCAUCCUCGGUGAGCUCCAUCCUCGUCCUGCUCCUCUACUUCGGCUAUUGUAUGUAACAUGGUUGUGGCUAUAUUGAUGUGGUGCUCGUCUGGUUGAUGCUCUAUGCCCUACUCAUGCAUUGGUUCCUGCUUGAGCUCUGUAGUUGUGGAUCCAUGCUAUUCUAGGGUUCGCAGGCUGUUGUUCAUGUUCAUUUGCUAUCAUAGGACCUCCUGUGAUGCUCUGGUCAACAUGUGGGUGCCCUGGUCCUAUAGCUAUGCUCCUGGAUUUGCUAAAUUGAUAAGUGACGUUCGUGCUAGGGCGAUGAUGAUUAACCGUGGAUGAAGUAAGUGUGCCUUUGAGCAAUUGAGGCACCUGUGGGUAUCAAGUUGGAUCCUCCUUCUUGUCUCUAGAAUCCUUUUUGAUCAUGUGAUACUUAUUGUUCUGUCCUUGGAUGGUCGUUCUUCUUGAGUGAUAACCAGGGCAGCUUCGUUGUAUAAACAGAUUAAUCUGGUGAAAAGAAACGAUGGGGGUAGGUUAUAUGAUCGAGGAAAGAUGAAUCUGAGCCCACUAUCCAAUGAACCCUGAACCAUUUUUUUAAAUUUAAAGGUGUCAUUUAUUUAUGCUCCAGUGGUUAUACCCAUAUUAUGUAAAUAUUUCUUCUCUCUCAUACCUUUAUUUCAUAUCAAAGUGCUGCUUUCAGGUGCUAGAUUAAUUUGGUCCUUGCUUAGCCAUAUAAUCACAUGCCAGAUAGGUCGCAUGGUUGAUUAGAAAAAGAUCAUUUGAGGGUCCAUGCGUAUUGUGGUUGUAGUUCUGCGAAUCAAAAUGUUAUUCUUGGUUGCUAGAUUAAUUUGGUUAUCCAGUCGGCUCCCAGUUUCCAGUUUCUAAUUAUAUGAAGAAAUGGUGUUUUAAUGUUAAUUAAUUUGUUCGGUACUUCUGUUUUCUAAUUCUUUGCUUGAUGUGUUUUCAAUUGGGAGCUCUCCACUCGAAAGAUACCUCAACGCCCAGCCACCUCUUCACCACCACACGCCAGUCAGCGCACGAGGCAGCGGAACUGGGUUUGUCUUCGUCCAGGGAAGUGAAGGCUCAGUUAGUGAUUUGUCUCGGGCAUUUUCAUCAAAAAGGGAGCACUUGUGAGCGGCUACCACCAGGAGGUGACCAGUACACGAGCAGCUGCAUACGACAAGAGGAGAGGCACACAAAUGACGUAAUAUUCAGGUUGACCUGACCACCCAACCUUUUGCUAGCAUUUGCAGCACAUAUGUUGCACAUUCUGGAGUUUGUGCCUGCAAAGUGAAUGGGUAGACCAGCCGACUGUUGUGAUGCGUCCUUCCAAGCGCCUUCCACCCUCAGUGUUCCUGUUUCAGUCACGGCAAAUAUUCGUGUGUAGAGGCUGAUAAAGCCUUUAUGCCUUGUUUGUGUUUGUAAAUAUGCGGAUGAUAUGUACAAUCUGUUGCCGGUGUUGUUCUGAUGCUAUGUAUUCUAACAACUUAUGUACUUGGGCUUUUAUCCGAAUCAAUUCAAUUGUGUAUGUCUUUUCA